rnacentral:lncRNA from 1 species
CGAGAGGUCCCGAGUUCGAUUCUCGGAAUGCCCCUGUUUUUUUUCAUGUUUUAUCUUUGCCUGUAUUAUUCUAAAGUGUGCGUUUGUGAUUUUUCUAUAAGUGCAUGCAUUUGUAGCCUGUCAGUGAGAACAUAAUACUUGCAGUUGUGUUUAUUCCACCAAAAAACCAGGAGAAUAUGUGAAUCAAUCUUAACAAUCUGGCUGCAUUAUAGCAUUCACAGUUAACCGCACAGACUGCUGCUGGGCAUGCCAAGAGACACUUAGCAGUUGAUUGACAUAUGUAUCUCUCUGUUAGUCUGCAAGUAUCACUGGUCAAAACUAUAAGAUUAGUAUGUGAUCAUGUGUUUCUAUUUGAA